CCAGUCUGUUAACCAGGAGGAAGUAUAACAGAGAGAAAUGAAAAUACAGAGCUACGAGGAGACGGAGAGAUUCAGGGAGGAGCUGAGCUGUUACUGAACUAUAGAAGAGAGAGGAACUUCCACAUUCAGCAGAGUUCAAUACACAAACCAGAAACAUUACCUUUAUUCAACAUGCUGUCACUGGACUAUUAUGGACUUUCUCUACUGUUACUAUCCAUUCUAACAGGUGUCAGCUGUGAAGAACUCACUCCAGUCAAGAAUGAAGAGUUCAGUUUAGAAGGCAGCACUGUUACUCUGUCCUGCAAAUACGGCAAAGGUGCUGCCGAUUAUUUCUUCUGGUAUCGACAACAUCCAGGAAAAGCACCACAGUUCCUCAUUUCUCAUCUGGAAUCAGGAGAAAUAUUAGCAGAUCCAGUCUCUGGACUGUCUGUUAAAGUGAGUGAGGAUAAAACCCGAAUGGACCUGCAGAUCUCCUCUGCUGCAGUGACAGACUCUGCUCUGUACUACUGUGCUGUGAGGCCCACAGUGACAGCAAACCCACAGUCUCUGUACAAAAACCUGACAGCUCCUCACUGAAGAUUUACACACUUCAGCCC